rnacentral:rRNA from 1 species
UACAGAGGUGCCAAGCGUUAGGCGGAAUCACUGGGCUUAAAGCGUGUGUAGGCGGAAUCGUAAGUACCGUGUGAAAUCCCACGGCUCAACCGUGGAACUGCUCGGUAUACUGCGAUUCUUGAGCUGUCUAGGGGCUACCGGAACAAAUGGUGGAGCGGUGAAAUGCGUAGAUAUCAUUUGGAACGCCAAUGGUGAAAACAGGUAGCUGGGGACAUGCUGACGCUGAGACACGAAAGCCAGGGGAGCAAACGGG